rnacentral:rRNA from 1 species
AACAGUUGGAAACGACUGCUAAGACUGGAUAGGAGAUAAGAAGGCAUCUUUUUAUUUUUAAAAGACCUAGCAAUAGGUAUGCUUAGGGAAGAGCUUGCGUCACAUUAGUUAGUUGGUGGGGUAAUGGCCUACCAAGACGAUGAUGUGUAGCCGGGCUGAGAGGUCGAACGGCCACAUUGGGACUGAGACACGGCCCAAACUCCUACGGGAGGCAGCAGUAAGGAAUUUUCGGCAAUGGAGGAAACUCUGACCGAGCAAUGCCGCGUGAACGAUGAAGUAUUUCGGUACGUAAAGUUCUUUUAUUAGGGAAGAAAAGAUGGUGGAAAAACCAUUAUGACGGUACCUAAUGAAUAAGCCCCGGCUAACUAUGUGCCAGCAGCCGCGGUAAUACAUAGGGGGCAAGCGUUAUCCGGAAUUAUUGGGCGUAAAGGGUGCGUAGGCGGUUAAAUAAGUUUAUGGUCUAAGUGCAACGCUCAACGUUGUGAUGCUAUAAAAACUGUUUAGCUAGAGUUGGAUAGAGGCAAGUGGAAUUCCGUGUGUAGUGGUAAAAUGCGUAAAUAUACGGAGGAACACCAGAAGCGAAGGCGGCUUGCUGGGUCUUAACUGACGCUGAGGCACGAAAGCGUGGGGAGCAAACAGGAUUAGAUACCCUGGUAGUCCACGCCCUAAACGAUGAGUACUAAACGUUGGAUAAAACCAGUGUUGAAGUUAACACAUUAAGUACUCCGCCUGAGUAGUACGUACGCAAGUAUGAAACUUAAAGGAAUUGACGGGACUCCGCACAAGCGGUGGAUCAUGUUGUUUAAUUCGAAGGUACCCGAAAAACCUCACCAGGUCUUGACAUGCUUUUGCAAAGCUGUAGAAAUACAGUGGAGGUUAUCAGAAGCACAGGUGGUGCAUGGUUGUCGUCAGCUCGUGUCGUGAGAUGUUGGGUUAAGUCCCGCAACGAGCGCAACCCUUGUUGUUAAUUGCCAUCAUUAAGUUGGGGACUUUAGCAAGACUGCCAAUGAUAAAUUGGAGGAAGGUGGGGACGACGUCAAAUCAUCAUGCCCCUUAUGACCUGGGCUACAAACGUGAUACAAUGGCUGUUACAAAGGGUAGCUAAAGCGUAAGCUUCUGGCGAAUCUCAAAAAAGCAGUCUCAGUUCGGAUUGAAGUCUGCAACUCGACUUCAUGAAGUUGGAAUCGCUAGUAAUCGCGAAUCAGCAUGUCGCGGUGAAUACGUUCUCGGGGUUUGUACACACC